rnacentral:rRNA from 1 species
UACGUAGGGGGCAAGCGUUGUCCGGAUUUAUUGGGCGUAAAGAGCGUGUAGGCGGCUUCACAGGUCCGCUGUGAAAACUCGAGGCUCAACCUCGAGCUGUCGGUGGAAACCGUGUGGCUAGAGUCCGGAAGAGGAGAGUGGAAUUCCCGGGUGUAGCGGUGAAAUGCGCAGAUAUCGGGAAGAACACCCGUGGCGAAGGCGGCUCUCUGGGACGGUACUGACGCUGAGACGCGAAAGCGUGGGGAGCAAACAGG